AGGCUAUGAUGACUAAAAAAACAUACCAUCAAACUCUGAAAGCUCAUACAGCUUCUUUGAUGAGUUUUUUAACAUUAAUACUGAGCCU